GGGUCAGUAGGUUGGUCGUGCCACCGGUACGUACUGGUCUCACUGAUUCCUCCUUCUUGAAGAACCGUAAUGCCAUUAAUUUGGUGUUGCGGUGAAACAGGACUGUUACUUUGAAAAAAUUAGAGUGUUUAAAGCAAGCUAACGCUUGAAUACAUUAGCAUGGAAUAAUGAAAUAGGACGAUCGAUCCUAUUUUGUUGGUUUCUAGGAUUGACGUA
rnacentral:rRNA from 1 species